rnacentral:rRNA from 1 species
UACGUAGGUGACAAGCGUUAUCCGGAUUUAUUGGGCGUAAAGCGCACGCAGGCGGCGGAUUAAGUCUGACGUGAAAUCUCUCGGCUUAACCCGGAGCGGCCAAGUGAUACUGUCGUGCUAGAGUGCGGAAGGGGCUACUGGAAUUCUCGGUGUAGCGGUGAAAUGCGUAGAUAUCGAGAGGAACACCUGCGGCGAAGGCGGGUAGCUGGGCCGAACACUGACGCUGGAGGCGCGAAAGCCAGGGGAGCAAACGGG